GGGCCGUUAGCUCAAUUGGCAGAGCUGCGGACUUUUAAUCCGUAGGUUCUGGGUUCGAGUCCCAGGCGGCCCACCA
rnacentral:tRNA from 2 species